AGCUUUGCGCAGUGGCAGUAUCGUAGCCAAUGAGGUUUAUUCGAGGCGCGAUUAUUGCUAAUUGAAAAAGUUUAAUUUCAAAACUCUUAAGUCAGAAAAAAAAACACACAAUGGAAGUUCCCUUGACAGCUUCAAGCAG